rnacentral:rRNA from 1 species
AUUGAACGCUGGCGGCAGGCCUAACACAUGCAAGUCGAACGAGUGGCGGACGGGUGAGUAAUGUCUGGGAAACUGCCUGAUGGAGGGGGAUAACUACUGGAAACGGUAGCUAAUACCGCAUACCAUCAGAUGUGCCCAGAUGGGAUUAGCUUGUUGGUGGGGUAACGGCUCACCAAGGCGACGAUCCCUAGCUGGUCUGAGAGGAUGACCAGCCAAACUGGAACUGAGAAACGGGCCAGACUCCCACGGGGGGCAGCAGUGGGGAAUAUUGCACAAUGGGCGGAAGCCUGAGACAGCCAUGCCGCGGGUAUGAAGAAGGCCUUCGGGUUGGAAAGUACUUUCAGCGGGGAGGCGGUCCCCGCAGAAGAAGCACCGGCUAACUCCGUGCCAGCCCCCGCGGUAAUUC